rnacentral:rRNA from 1 species
UCCGUAGGGGGAACCUGCGGAGGGAUCAUUACUGAGUUACCGCUCUAUAACCCUUUGUGAACAUACCUAACCGUUGCUUCGGCGGGCAGGGGAAGCCUCUCGCGGGCCUCCCCUCCCGGCGCCGGCCCCACCACGGGGACGGGGCGCCCGCCGGAGGAAACCAAACUCUAUUUACACGACGUCUCUUCUGAGUGGCACAAGCAAAUAAUUAAAACUUUUAACAACGGAUCUCUUGGUUCUGGCAUCGAUGAAGAACGCAGCGAAAUGCGAUAAGUAAUGUGAAUUGCAGAAUUCAGUGAAUCAUCGAAUCUUUGAACGCACAUUGCGCUCGCCAGCAUUCUGGCGAGCAUGCCUGUUCGAGCGUCAUUUCAACCCUCAAGCACCGCUUGGUUUUGGGGCCCCACGGCACACGUGGGCCCUUAAAGGUAGUGGCGGACCCUCCCGGAGCCUCCUUUGCGUAGUAACUAACGUCUCGCACUGGGAUUCGGAGGGACUCUUGCCGUAAAACCCCCCAAUUUUUUACAGGUUGACCUCGGAUCAGGUAGGAAUA